GCAUUGGUGGUUCAGUGGUAGAAUUCUACCCUGCCAUGCCGGAGACCCGUGUCCGAUUCCCAGCCAAUGCA
rfam:Danio rerio chromosome 4, GRCz11 reference primary assembly.